AUAAGGGGCACUUACAGGAUGGAAACAUAGGGAACUGUAUACAGGAUAUUACUGAAUUUUGGCAGAACUUAUUUUGCAGUCAAAUAUCUUGCUGUAAUUCUAUUUUGACAACUUGGGGCGUAGGACAAACUUCAACAAAGAGGUCCUCUCACCUAACGCAUAUGUGGAAAACCUGUGAAUCAGACUUGGUAUUCUUAUUAAACUGUUUCAGGACUUCAUCAACAUUGUUAAUCUGUGGUUUCUCUUCGAUUGAGGCAAUUUGUGAUUGAUCAAUGUGGCACCUCUUUCAUGUUGGUUGUGUUAUUCUAUGUCUAUUAUAUUGUGAGGAGUGUCAUGUUUUAUGAGUUCCUUGUUUUGGUUUGGUGUGUAUCAGAAGCUGUGAGUCAGACUUGAUGUAUGCUUUGUUUCUUGGCCAUUGACUUGAGGUAGUUUUUGAAGGAAUUGGAGUGUCAUUUUUCUGAACAAUUUGGGGGAUUUUUUAUUAACUAGUGCAGGUAGUUUUUUAAGGUUCAGUUGAUCUUUUGUAUCAUAAAUUAUAGUGUGGUUUCUUAUGGUCCUUUGAGUUUUGUAAAGCGGUUUUAGAGGUUGGUAUUUUCUGCUGUAGUUUUUAAACGUUGGUUCGUUAAUUUAGUAUUUAAGCAGUAUUAGUCACGUGAGAUAGUCGGUUCUCUGGAUUUUUUUUGUACUAGAGAAUUUCUGAUUAUUUGUGGUUCAGCCUCUAUUGAGUUUCAUUCCCAUUUUUUGUCGGCAUUUUUUGGGUGUUGGUACUUUUGUUUUGUAGUGCCUUCUGUUGUAUUUGGUUGUUUAUCUGUGUAAAGUGUAAGAUGAUUCAAUUCUUGUGGGCAUUGUAUUAAUUGGCUUUGUGGAGA